ACGCACGCUGGCGGCGUGCUUAACACAUGCACGUCGCACGGAAAGGCCCUGCUUUUGUGGGGUGCUCGAGUGGCGAACGGGUGAGUAACACGUGAGUAACCUGCCCUUGACUUUGGGAUAACUUCAGGAAACUGGGGCUAAUACCGGAUAGGAGCUCCUGCUGCAUGGUGGGGGUUGGAAAGUUUCGGCGGUUGGGGAUGGACUCGCGGCUUAUCAGCUUGUUGGUGGGGUAGUGGCUUACCGAGGCUUUGACGGGUAGCCGGCCUGAGAGGGUGACCGGCCACAUUGGGACUGAGAUACGGCCCAGACUCCUACGGGAGGCAGCAGUGGGGAAUAUUGCACAAUGGGCGGAAGCCUGAUGCAGCAACGCCGCGUGCGGGAUGACGGCCUUCGGGUUGUAAACCGCUUUCGCCUGUGACGAAGCGUGAGUGACGGUAAUGGGUAAAGAAGCACCGGCUAACUACGUG
rnacentral:rRNA from 1 species